CAGCCACAUCACAUGGAAAGACCAGUUCCUGUACUAUCACCGAACUUAAGCAAUAUUGAGCCUGCUCAGUACCUAGGUGGGUGACCGUUUGGGAAUACCAAGUGCUGUAAU